GACGAACGCUGGCGGCGUGCUUAACACAUGCAAGUCGAACGGAAAGGCCCUGCUUUUGUGGGGUGCUCGAGUGGCGAACGGGUGAGUAACACGUGAGUAACCUGCCCUUGACUUUGGGAUAACUUCAGGAAACUGGGGCUAAUACCGGAUAGGAGCUCCUGCUGCAUGGUGGGGGUUGGAAAGUUUCGGCGGUUGGGGAUGGACUCGCGGCUUAUCAGCUUGUUGGUUGGGUAGUGGCUUACCAAGGCUUUGACGGGUAGCCGGCCUGAGAGGGUGACCGGCCACAUUGGGACUGAGAUACGGCCCAGACUCCCACGGGAGGCAGGAGUGGGGAAUGUUGCACAAUGGGCGGAAGCAUGCGGCAGCAACGCCGCGUGCGGGAUGACGGCCUUCGGGUGGGAAACCGAUUUCGCCUGUGCCGAAGCGUGAGUGACGGUAAUGGGGAAAGAAGCACCGGCUAACUACGU
rnacentral:rRNA from 1 species